CCUACGGGUGGCAGCAGUGGGGAAUUUUGGACAAUGGGCGCAAGCCUGAUCCAGCCAUUCCGCGUGAGUGAAGAAGGCCUUCGGGUUGUAAAGCUCUUUCGGCAGGGAAGAAAUCGCAUGGGCUAAUAUCCUGUGUGGAUGACGGUACCUGAAUAAGAAGCACCGGCUAACUACGUGCCAGCAGCCGCGGUAAUACGUAGGGUGCGAGCGUUAAUCGGAAUUACUGGGCGUAAAGCGUGCGCAGGCGGUUUGGUAAGACAGAUGUGAAAUCCCCGGGCUUAACCUGGGAACUGCGUUUGUGACUGCCAAGCUAGAGUACAGCAGAGGGGGGUGGAAUUCCUGGUGUAGCAGUGAAAUGCGUAGAGAUCAGGAGGAACACCGAUGGCGAAGGCAGCCCCCUGGGUUGAUACUGACGCUCAUGCACGAAAGCGUGGGGAGCAAACAGGAUUAGAUACCCUAGUAGUC
rnacentral:rRNA from 1 species